UGCAGCUUUGUCAAAUUCAGUGCUUCCUCUGUGGUAGGUUGCACUGGCCAAAAUGGCUGCAAAAGUGACUCUGUAGUUCAUGGGCCCCAUUUUUCUUCACAGUGAACUUUGGGGAUAGAUAUGUACUUCAGACAAAA